UACGUAGGGGGCAAGCGUUGUCCGGAAUCACUGGGCGUAAAGGGUGCGUAGGCGGGUCUUUAAGUCAGGGGUGAAAUCCUGGAGCUCAACUCCAGAACUGCCUUUGAUACUGAAGAUCUUGAGUUCGGGAGAGGUGAGUGGAACUGCGAGUGUAGAGGUGAAAUUCGAUAGAUAUCGCAAGAACACCAGUGGCGAAGGCGGCUCACUGGCCCGAUACUGACGCUGAGGCACGAAAGCGUGG
rnacentral:rRNA from 1 species